GCCUAACUCAGUUGUUAGAGCAUGAGACUUUUAAUCUCAGGGUUGUGGGUUUGAUCCCCACAUUGGGUA